rnacentral:rRNA from 1 species
UACAGAGGGUGCGAGCGUUGUUCGGAAUUACUGGGCGUAAAGCGCGCGCAGGCGGCUCUUUAAGUCCGUAGGUGAAAGACCGGGGCUCAACCCCGUGUCAGCCAUGGAUACUGGAGGGCUGGAGACAGGUAGAGGCAAGCGGAAUUCCGGGUGUAGCGGUGGAAUGCGUAGAGAUCCGGAAGAACACCGGAGGCGAAGGCGGCUUGCUGGACCUGGUCUGACGCUGAGGCGCGAAAGCGUGGGGAGCGAAUGGG